AUGAUAAUGAGGUCAAUUCCUGAGUAUACCCUUGAAUCUUUCCAAACUUGGUAAAGAUUUUCUCCAUCCUUCUGCCUAAAACUCAAAAUCUCAUUUCUAAACCU
rfam:Capsicum annuum cultivar Zunla-1 unplaced genomic scaffold scaffold933, whole genome shotgun sequence